rnacentral:rRNA from 1 species
GACGAACGCUGGCGGCGUGCUUAACACAUGCAAGUCGAACGGUAAGGCCCUUCGGGGUACACGAGUGGCGAACGGGUGAGUAACACGUGGGUGAUCUGCCCUGCACUUCGGGAUAAGCCUGGGAAACUGGGUCUAGUACCGGAUAGGACUCCUGGCUUCAUGGUUGGGGGUGGAAAGCUUUUGCGGUGUGGGAUGGGCCCGCGGCCUAUCAGCUUGUUGGUGGGGUAAUGGCCUACCAAGGCGACGACGGGUAGCCGGCCUGAGAGGGUGACCGGUCACACUGGGACUGGGAUACGGCCCAGACUCCUACGGGAGGCAGCAGUGGGGAAUAUUGCACAAUGGGCGCAAGCCUGAUGCAGCGACGCCGCGUGAGGGAUGACGGCCUUCGGGUUGUAAACCUCUUUCAGCACCGACGAAGCGCAAGUGACGGUAGGUGCAGAAGAAGGACCGGCCAACUACGUGCCAGCAGCCGCCGCGG